GACGAACGCUGGCGGCGUGCUUAACACAUGCAAGUCGAACGGAAAGGCCCCUUUGGGGGUACUCGAGUGGCGAACGGGUGAGUAACACGUGAGUAACCUGCCCUUGACUUCGGGAUAACUUCAGGAAACUGGGGCUAAUACCGGAUAGGAAUCCUUGCUGCAUGGUGGGGGUUGGAAAGCUUCGGCGGUUUUGGAUGGACUCGCGGCUUAUCAGCUUGUUGGUGGGGUAGUGGCUUACCAAGGCUUUGACGGGUAGCCGGCCUGGGAGGGCGACCGGCCACAUUGGGACUGAGAUACGGCCCAGACUCCUACGGGAGGCAGCAGUGGGGAAUAUUGCACAAUGGGCGGAAGCCUGAUGCAGCAACGCCGCGUGCGGGAUGACGGCCUUCGGGCUGUAAACCGCUUUCAGCAGGGGCGAAGCUUGUGGUGACGGUACCUGCAGAAGAAGCACCGGCUAACUACGUG
rnacentral:rRNA from 1 species